AUUGAACGCUGGCGGCAUGCUUUACACAUGCAAGUCGAACGGUAACAGGCCUUCGGGUGCUGACGAGUGGCGUACGGGUGAGUAAUGCAUCGGAACGUGCCCAGUGGUGGGGGAUAACGCAGCGAAAGCUGUGCUAAUACCGCAUGUGAUCUGAGGUUGAAAGCGGGGGACCAGGCAGCAUUGUUUGGCCUCGCGCCUUUGGAGCGGCCGAUGUCAGAUUAGGUAGUUGGUGGGGUAAAGGCCUAACAAGCCGACGAUCUGUAGCUGGUCUGAGAGGACGACCAGCCACACUGGGACAGAGACACGGCACAGACUCCUACGGGAGGCAGCAGUGGGGAAUUUUGGACGAUGGGGGAAAGCCUAAUCCAGCAAUACCGCGUGAGGGAAGAAGGCCUUCGGGUUGGAGACCGAUUUUGUACGGAACGAAAAGGCUCUGGCUAAUACCUGAGGCUGAUGACAGUACCGUAAGAAUAAGCACCGGCUAACUACGUG
rnacentral:rRNA from 1 species